rnacentral:sRNA from 1 species
UUUACCCUGGGGUGUUCGUCAGACGGAUUUAAGUCCCUGAGCCGAUAAGCAAUACCAAAGGGUUAGUACUUGAUAGCUAUUGAGCAAGCUUGGCAUGCACCGAGAAGCCUACGGUUAUCAUUGCUGAUCCG